GAUGAACGCUAGCGGCAGGCCUAAUACAUGCAAGUCGAACGGGCUUAUGUUUUUCGGAAUAUGAGUUAGUGGCGCACGGGUGAGUAACACGUACAUAACCUACCUUCAAGAGGGGGAUAGCCUUGGGAAACUGAGAGUAAUACCCCAUAGUAUCAAGUUGCGGCAUCGUGAGUUGAUUAAAGCUGAGGUGCUUGAAGAUGGAUGUGCGUCUGAUUAGCUAGUUGGUGAGGUAACGGCUCACCAAGGCGACGAUCAGUAGGGGGCGUGAGAGCGUGGCCCCCCACACGGGUACUGAGACACGGACCCGACUCCUACGGGAGGCAGCAGUAAGGAAUAUGU
rnacentral:rRNA from 1 species